AUUGGGCGGAUUUUCUGGCCGAUAGGCUCCCCUGGAAGAUCUGGGUGACGGCUUCAGGUCCGCUGGGACCAAGGCCAGUCCCCCUCUAAGGAUUAAUCGCCAAUGAGGGGGACCCUGUGGGUGCCUCCCAGCACGAAUCAGGGUGACAAACCAGGUUUCCUCUCCCUCCCGCGUCCAGAGGACUAGAGUUUGGUUCCCGGGACCCACAAGAUGGCCCAUAACCUCCUGUAUCUCCAGUUUCAGGGCAUCUGAGACCUCUUCUGGAUUCCUUGGGCACUGUACAUACAGCUCAGAAGACCAGGACAAGAGGAAUCUCUUCCUUUGAUAUCACCGUCCUCUCCCUAAAGUAAGAACAGUCUUGGGUGCCUGAGGACUGUUCCCAAGCUUGACAUCUUGCAGAGCCCAUGUAAAUCUGGAUGAGGGCUCUCCCCCUCUUGGGUCCCUUGUACCUAUCCUGGCAGGUAAUUACCGUUUGGUGGACAUUCCUCUGUGUUGCAUGAUUGGUACUUGACUCUUUCACCCAGGCAAAAUCUUCCUCCAUUCUGAGGCAUUGGAUUAUCACAUUCACGGUUCGAGAAUUGUAUCCCUCCACCACAGGUGCGAGAACAUUGUCCCCAGGGUCUCCAGGGACCCCAGUCUCCAUCUACCACAGCCUGUAACACACAAUGCCACCAAAUCAGGACCAAAGGGAAGCAGGUUUCAGUCCUCUAUGCCACCUGGCUGCUUGGGCCUGACUUCCUCAUCUGAAUGUAUGGAGUCCUGCAAAUUAUUUCGAUUGCUUGCUUAAUGAUGGCGUGCCUCGCUUGGAUGUGACUUCAUGAGCACAGAGGUAGCUUUGUUUGUUGUGAGUGCACAGAAUAUAUAAAGAGUACCUUACCCUACCCAAGUGCCCAACACAAUAGCUGCUGAAUGAGUAUGGGAGAGUCUUUUAUGGGUAAGUUUGCAUCUGGUGCAGUAGGUUUCCAUUGGUGCCCAUGGUGUCCACAAUGGGAGGAGUCUGGAGUCACUGUAGCUGCCUCACCCGGGGAAGACAUAUGCCCCUAGCAGUGGGUCAAGACAAUGAUUCUUCGAAAUAACCAACAGUGCAUAAUCCUCACAAAGCCUUUCCGUUGACAGCUCCAGCAAGGGUUCUAAAUGACUUUUCCCCCUAUUAUUAAAGAACAUUUUGCUCAUAUAAAAAUAAAAACCGAAGACUGUAAAAAUAAAUAUGGGAAGAAAGGAAAAGAAAGAAAGCAAGCUUUAAAAAUGUGCCACUGCACAGAAAGAAACCACUCCCAUAAUUGUCAUAGAAUCCUCCCAUUCUGCUCCAAAUAUCAUGUCCUACAGCAGUGAUGCAUUCAUUUGACAGAGGCAUGAUGCUGCAGACAAAGGGUAGUUUCUAGUCCUGCCCUUUUCACCUUAAGGAUAGACGGAUCCUAUGACUGUUUUCUGUCACCCUCAGAGUUCUGCCUCUGAGAUAGGUGGCUGGAACCUUCUUCUCUUUCAACACCAUGAGAAGAAUGAAUGGGGAGACCAGGAGAUGGCUGAGCUGGAAUCCAUGACACUGUACCAGCCCAGGCUCUGGGUGAGAAUGUGUGGCUUCCACAGCCCAGGGAGGCUCCCAAAUCAGCACCGAGAGCAUGCCACCGAGGACAGCCCUUGGAACGUGCUCGGGCCACCGUGGCGAUUCAGCACUGGGCAGGACCCAGGCUGUGAAACUCAUCGGAUGGUAUUUCAUCACGAAAGCCCCAUGACUUGCAGAAGGAGAAAUGUGAUCAGCCUUGCUGUUUGGAUGCAUUAAGAGCAGGGAGAAGAAGUGAACCACUUAAAACCCUCACUGGCAUUGCCUUGGGGUUUCUGCAAGUUUCCUCAGUACUGGGCCAAGGUUUCUCUUUCUGGACACAGGCCACUCGGAUCCCUUCUCCCCUCCUCUUGGAGUAGACAUUCUUACCAUUACACUUACUCUCUGAUUUCUACUAAGGAACUCAGCUCAAACAUGGCAGGCUGUGGAUACUCAGCCCUUAUGCAAUGUUGCUACUUCAUGUCUCUCUCUAUUUAUAGUGGGUUCCUCUGGGCUCUCACUUACUGAGUGCCCACCUUCUGGUCUUCACACCUUCACCAAUCAGCAUGAGAUCUCAAAACAGCUACAAAACAGAACCAAGGAGAGAUGCUGAACUUCGAGGAGCCAGGCAACAUCCCAUUGGCCAUGAGCAAGCCUCAAAGCUCCCCACUCAUGGGGGUAAUUACCAUUUGUUCUGUUGAAAGAGACUGACUUUUCUGUAAGUAACACUUCUGGCUUAGCCUGAAACAUCUUAGGUCCUGACUCUCAUGUGUAGAGCCUUUGUCUCCCCAUCCUGCUUCCCCCCACCUCCCUUUAUCUCCUCUCCAUUUUCCUCACCUUGGGAUUCUCCACAUCCUCCUUGAGUACACAGCUACCAUCCAGGCACAGGUGCCCAGGGCCACAGGGUGUACCAUCAGCCCAGAGCAGGCUACCAUUCUUUGUGUGGCAAAUGGGCUCAUCACUAUCCCGAUGACGGCACCAGAGCUGGACACAGAUGUCCUCCACAGAGGUGUUGGGGCAGUGUCGGAAAUCAGGCCCAAAGAUCUGCUUGCACUGCUGGUCCAGCUCGUAGAGGGUGCUGUGGCCCGGGAGGCCUGUGGGGAGGGGCAGAACCGAGGUGGGGGCAUCCAGAAGACAAUCUCCUGAGAAUAGAAGAAACAGAUGAGUUAGGACAAGGGCAAGGCUUUGCUCUCAGCUCAGUUUGGCCUCCUGCACUGAGCUCCUCCACUAAACUCCAAUUCUGAAUGAUACACUUUGGUGUUUAGGCAUCCCAGUUUUUUCAUCCCUGAUCUAAAUAUCACCAACAUCCAACCAGGAACACAGAGCUUGUUCAAUUCUGGGCAACUGUAGCAAAUGUUUCUGUAGGAUGAGUUUUCCUUUGCUGUCCAGCAUGUGUUGGAUAUAUUUCCUGUGACAUUCAGCAUGAGUCUCGUGACUGCCAGCCUCUUGCACUAUAAAACCACAUUCCACGUAAAGUUUAAGAACCCUGACAUGCAAAGUAAACCUGAGUAUUGACAUCUGU
rnacentral:lncRNA from 1 species